CACGUAGGGUGCGAGCGUUGUCCGGAAUUAUUGGGCGUAAAGAGCUCGUAGGCGGCCUGUUGCGUCCGCUGUGAAAUCCCGGGGCUCAACCCCGGGCCUGCAGUGGAUACGGGCUGGCUAGAGGCAGGCAGGGGAGAACGGAAUUCCUGGUGUAGCGGUGAAAUGCGCAGAUAUCAGGAGGAACACCGGUGGCGAAGGCGGUUCUCUGGGCCUGUACUGACGCUGAGGAGCGAAAGCGUGGGGAGCGAACAGG
rnacentral:rRNA from 1 species